rnacentral:rRNA from 1 species
UGUAAGCGUAUACCAAAGUUGUUGCAGUUAAAACGCUCGUAGUCGGAAUUUGGCAGUUCCGGAUGUGUGCACGUCGUGUGCGCACUUCGCGGGGAUUGCUUUUGUGGUCUUGCGUAGGAUGAGGCACUUUUAUUAGUGAACGUCCUCACGCAACCACUUUUUACUGUGAGAAAAUCAGAGUGCUCAAAGCAGGCAUUUGCCGUGAAUGUAUUAGCAUGGAAUAAUAGAAUAGGACUUGGUUCUAUUUUGUUGGUUUGUUGGGACUGAGUAAUGAUUAAGAGGGACAGUUGGGGGCAUUUGUAUUUCGGUGCUAGAGGUGAAAUUCUUAGAUUACCGAAAGACAAACUGCUGCGAAAGCGUCUGCCAAGGAUGUUUCCAUUGA